GACGAACGCUGGCGGCGUGCUUAACACAUGCAAGUCGAACGGAGUGGCGAACGGGUGAGUAACACGAGGGGGACAUGCCCUGCACUUCGGGAUAAGCCCGGGGAACUGGGUCUAAUACCGGAUAGUGUGGGAUGGGCCCGCGGCCUAUCAGCUUGUUGGUGGGGUAAUGGCCUACCAAGGCGGCGACGGGUAGCCGGCCUGGGAGGGUGGACGGCCACAUUGGGACUGAGACACGGCCCAGACUACUACGGGAGGCAGCAGUGGGGAAUAUUGCACAAUGGGCGGAAGCCUGAUGCAGCGACGCCGAGUGGGGGAUGACGGCCUUCGGGUUGUAAACUCCUUUCACCAUCGACGCGGUAGAUGGAGAAGAAGUGACGGCUAAAUACGUGCCAGCAGCCGCGGUAAUUC
rnacentral:rRNA from 1 species